AUACGGAGGGUGCAAGCGUUAAUCGGAAUUACUGGGCGUAAAGAGUACGUAGGUGGUUUGUUAAGUCAGAUGUGAAAGCCCCGGGCUCAACCUGGGAACUGCAUUUGAAACUGGCAAACUAGAGUAUGGUAGAGGGGGGUAGAGUUUCUAGUGUAGCGGUGAAAUGCGUAGAUAUUAGAAGGAAUACCAGUGGCGAAGGCGGCCCCCUGGACCAAUACUGACACUGAGGUACGAAAGCGUGGGUAGCGAACAGGAUUAGAAACCCUAGUAGUCC
rnacentral:rRNA from 1 species